GGUCCCAUCGUCUAGUGGUUAGGACGCUGGCCUCUCACGCCGGAAACCGGAGUUCAACUCUCCGUGGGACUACCA
rnacentral:tRNA from 1 species